rnacentral:antisense_RNA from 1 species
UUUUCAUUUCCCAGAUACAGCUGAUCGAGUUCGCCGAGUGGCCGAGCGAGUGAGCGCUCCUCCGACUUGGGUGGAGGAAGGACAGAAGAGCUCCUUGGCACUGGAUGCCUCCGGGUCUGGUUGAGAGAGGAAUGGUUAGGAGACUGUUCUGAGGAUACGCAGACAUCAUCCAAAGCUUCCUACAUUCAGAUGAGGACAGAGGUUGGGCCAGAGCUUUGUAUGCUUGUUACCUAAGGAUGGUUCUGACCAUGUAAGCAGAUCACAGAAGCACUGUUCACAAUAGCAAAGACUUGGAACCAAUCCAAAUGCCCAUCAAUGAAAACCUGGAUAAAGAAAAUGUGGCACAUACACAGCAUGGAAUACUAUGCAGCCAUAAAUAAGGAUGAAUUCAUGUCCUUUGCAGGGACAUGGAUGAAGUUGGAAACAUCAUUCUCAGCAAACUAACCUGGAGGCAAAGGAUGCCAAGAUGGGAAAGCCACAUAAUGGAAGGAUCCUGGAUUUCAGAGCUGUCACUUGGAGGAGGGGCACCCAGUGAAGGUGUCUUAUCUAACCCACACCAUAUCUUCAUGAAGUGGCCAUAUGGAUUUGAUCCCUAUCCUUCAGAGGUGCUCAGCCUAAGGGAACACGGAUAGUAGAUUAAGCACUGACCAGGCAUGAAGAAACUGAAGCAUGGAGGAAAAACUAAGCAACUAGCCCAACGUCACACAGGCAAGCCAGCCUUGACAAUGUGCUGUUGGCAACC